rnacentral:ncRNA from 1 species
AGUUCGGGAGAGGGUAUGCAGUACGCAUAACGCCGAAGGGGCAGUCGCAAUAAACUCUCAGGCAAAAGGACCGGAC